rnacentral:rRNA from 1 species
AUUGAACGCUGGCGGCAGGCCUAACACAUGCAAGUCGAGCGAGCGGCGGACGGGUGAGUAAUGUAUGGGGACUGCCCGAUCGAGGGGGAUAACUACUGGAAACGGUAGCUAAUACCGCAUACUAUCGGAUAACCCAUAUGGGAUUAGCUAGUAGGUGAGGUAAUGGCUCACCUAGGCGACGAUCCCUAGCUGGUCUGAGAGGAUGAUCAGACACACUGGGACUGAGACACGGCCCAGACUCCUACGGAGGCAGCAGGGGGGAAGAUUGAACAAUGGGCGCAAGCCUGAUGCAGCCAUGCAGCGUGUAUGAAGAAGGCCCUAGGGUUGUAAAGUACGUUCAGUCGGGAGGCGUUACCGACAGAAGAAGCACCGGCUAACUCCGUGCCAGCAGCCGCGGUAAUAC